rnacentral:rRNA from 1 species
UAAGGAAUAUUGGUCAAUGGACGCAAGUCUGAACCAGCCAUGCCGCGUGGAGGAUUAAGGCCCUCUGGGUUGUAAACUCCUUUUAUCUGGGAAGAAAUGUACUUUUUCUUGAGUACUUGACGGUACCAGAGGAAUAAGCACCGGCUAACUCCGUGCCAGCAGCCGCGGUAAUACGGAGGGUGCAAGCGUUAUCCGGAUUCACUGGGUUUAAAGGGUGCGUAGGUGGGCAGGUAAGUCAGUGGUGAAAUCUCCGGGCUUAACCCGGUAACUGCCGUUGAUACUAUUUGUCUUGAAUAUUGUGGAGGUAAGCGGAAUAUGUCAUGUAGCGGUGAAAUGCUUAGAUAUGACAUAGAACACCAAUUGCGAAGGCAGCUUACUACAUAUAAAUUGACGCUGAGGCACGAAAGCGUGGGGAUCAA